GUUGAAAUUAUUGAAUAAAACCCUCUGUCCUUGGGGUGGGUGUAUCCUGAUGUACUGCUGGUUCCAGAGGCACUUGAGGCCUCAGCUGAGCCACUGCUGUGGCGUGUACCUCAGAAAUGGACGGUGAAUUCCUGUUGGUGAAGAUACUUUAUACUCUGCAAUGCGGGGCAUAUAGAAAGUAGUCUUGGUCUGAGUAGGCAGCGCCAUCCCUACUGGGUGAUGGCCAUAGUGCUAAAAGGCUUUAUGUAGUUCUAUGAGGGAGAGUACCACUAUGCCAGGGAAUAAGUGCUUUCCAGUAUAACAGUGGCGCGACUAUUAAGGGGGCUACCAACUACUUCCUGCUUAGAUUUAAAGUGUGCAACACUGGAAGAAACCUCUAUUUGGUACUUUAAGCCAGGGAGAAAAACAUGUCUGAAAAAUCACAGGUCUUAGCGGAUAACCCACUGCCUUCUUGGGUUGGUUGUUUUAUAUUUGUCAAAUUGCUUUCUAAACAUCCAUGUUUAUACCUGUAGAUUAGCACCGUAUAGGCUGAAUAUCAAAGGAAACCCUUUAUAAUGGACAGCAGCUGGGAGACUUAUAAUUAUUCAAACUGCUGAGGACAAAUGUCUGUUACCGUGGAUGCAGCUGUUACUGUGGCAAAGGAGUCCAGUACUCAGAAAAAAGGGCCCCACGAAAUCAUCCCCUCCACAAUUCAGGGAACACUGUAGAAAAGAGGAGAAGAAUGCCAGAGAGCUGGGGAUAUGGCUCAGUGGGCAAGAGCAUUUGUUGUGCAAGUAUGAAGGCCUGAGUUUAUCACCAGCUCCCAUGAGAGGGCCAGCUCUGGCCAUGAGCACCUAUAAUGCUAGCACUCUGACUGUAGGAAUGGGGAGAGCCCUGGGCUUGCUGGCUAGAAAGAUGAGUUCCAGGUUCAGAGAGAGACCCGAGGGACAGAGCAGAGAGCAACAGAGAAGGAAACCCAAUGUCCCUCUAUGGUCUUUUCACUCACACAUGGGCACUUGCACACACACACACCCCAUACGCAGGAAAUAAAACAGAAGGCAAGGAAAGAACGUACAGUUGGAGCAAGGAGUGGACUGUAGUAUAGCUAUUUCCUCUAGGUAUGAUGUGACGCCCAGCCAUAGUGAAGCUGGUCCUUACAGAGGGCUUCCGUAUCCCUGGUGACAUAACCAGCAAAACAAUGAACCUGAUAACUAAUCUACUGCAGUGGCACUGGGCCGCUCACGUUCUCUCGUGGAAAGAGGAGAGCCAUGAGAUGCUCACCUGAGACUUCAGUCAUUCUCUUCUCUUGCCUCAGCUGCAUGCGGUCUUGAGGGAUGUUCAAGUAUACAGGGAAACCGAAGGCUGACUGGAGGUUGAGACGCUCUAAUUUUAGUAUACGUGCUGCCGAAGCGAGCACUGGUUGAGACGCUCUAAUGGCACAGCUAUUUGAGCUGCCUGUUCUCCUAUACGUAACCCCAGGACACUCAAUCACUUCACCAGGUUAGGUUUGAAUAGAUUCAGUCUUUUGAUCUGUCAGUGUCCCCUCUGUAUGCCACCCCUGGUCAAGUUAUACAUUUGUGUAUUAUGCUAAAUAAGUCUUACCCAGCAAGGUUCCCGUUACACUGUUUUAUGAUGGUGGCUCAGACACUCAGCCACUGGUGGAAAAACAUUUGAACGGAAGUGGCAUCGGCUGCAGCUAAUUUACUGGCAACAGGGAGAAUGUUGACUGUAGAAGGGGUGGCAUGCACAGGGCUGGUGGCAGAGAUGGCCACCUGAGCAUAUUUUAUUAGGUUCUUCUCUGUCCCAGGUACUGGGUGUGAAGUACCAGAUUAUAUCCCUCCACCCCCCCCCCCCCCACACACACCUGAAUGAUCUCCUGCCCCAGGUUCUUCUUAUGACGUGACACAGACUCUUGGACAGGGUCUGUGUUCCUUACUCUUGUAUCUGUGACCAUGGCAGGAGUGAUUCUGUGUUCUAAGGCUAGGUCAUGAGUGGACCAGCUAUAAGUCUGGGAGGAGCUAUCACACAGGGGCGGCUGGAGAGCCCAGUGUGCACUUUUCCCAGAAGUAACUGCCAGACAUUCAGGUGUGAGAACCUUCAGUACAGCUGGUGUGAACUGUCCUCCUUCACCCAAGCCAAUAUGACAGGCCUCACUACUGACCUCACUCCGGACCAGGCUCUGACAGAUUUUUCAUGCUGCAGGCUGGUGUACAUCAAAAGAGGCAACGAAAUAGUAAGUCUUAUGACAAAAACAUCGAGAUUGUGAAAGAGACCAAAAGUCAGCAAAAGCAGAAGAAAGCAAAUACAGUGGACAGGACGGAACGACGUCAUUGCUAAGCAACCUUACCUAAGGACAUAGCUCACCAAUGCUUCCAGAAUGUCAGGAGAGAGCCAGUGCCUCCUUAUGAAGGGAAGUUUGGGUGAACGGGCUCUCUGAUUAAACAGGAGAAGAAGCAAACACACCCUGUUCUUUCUCUGAAAGGGAGUGACUGAAGAAAGAGACUGAGGACGGCUCUUGUCCAGCUCCUAACCUGCCACUCUGUGUGCAAGUUUAAGGAACGAUUCUUCUAUGCUCUCCUCACCUCUCUCCCAAUUCAGAUCUUAUACCCUAAGCUUCCUCUGUCAGCCCAGAAAGCAUAAGGGUGAUAGGGUUGGCUCAGACCGUAUAGCCACUCCAUGUGAUUAAAGUCUGUGAUGGUUAAUGUCACAUCACCUCUGAGCAUGUGUGUGAGGGAGUUCUGAGCCUGGGUCAAGUAAAUGGGAAAAGCCAUUCUAACUGUGGGGUUGCACCAUGGGCUGAUGGGACAGGAGGAAGUGGGUUGAAUAUCAGCAUUCAUCUUCUUCCCAAAGCCCCAAGAGCAUGUUGGCCUGUUUCCUACCCACACUCACCCUCUGUCCCUCCUUACCUCUGCAGAAGUAAGGAGACAGCUGUUGAAAAUCCCAGCAUUUCACUUGGCCACUUCCCUUGGGAUCCAGCCCUCAUGCUGAGACCAUCUUUGAAAGAGGCAGAGACCAGACACACACCUCUUAUAUAUAGACACUUACCAACCUAUGUGAUCCUGACCUUGAGAUUUCUCUAGAUUUUCUGCUGCUUUCUAACUCCCUCUGACGCGAUUUGGAAGACACACGGCGUGCAAAAGUGAAGAACACACAGGCAUUGUAAUUAGACAAUGCAAAGUACCGUGGAUGUCAAUGGCAUUAAGUCUCUCCUCUGGGUCUCCAGUUAGGGACAGGCUGGGGUCUUGGAAUAGUGGUUGUGGGUAUUCUGGGAGCAAGCUGAGGAAGAGAUCAGGUCUUAGCAGUCAAUGUGUGAACUCUUUGUCACGUGACUUCUGCAUAUGGUGCCUGCCCUUAAUCACUGGUAGAGUGGAUCUCUAGUCUUCUCUAUGGACAAUGGAAUGGAGACUCUCUGCUGUAUGGGAGGUGGGAAGGAAGCCCAAAGGUAGGAUCAAACUGUGAGUCACAGGAAGGUUAACACUGGGACCUAGCAAUCUGAAAGACCUUCCCGUGGAUUGUGCAAACCCCUCUAUGGAAGGAGUAGUAUAUGGAUUGCAUCUUACAUAUAUAACAGAGGAUCAUGGGAUGACCUAUGCACAGUAAAGAUAAUGUCAACAUAACCUAGAGAUGCCAGUCAUGUCAGUCAAGGAAAGACCCACCCCUCCAGAGAGCAGCUCCCCUUUCCUCUGUAAUUAUUAUAUCCUGGACCGGGCAGGAGCUCUUGAGCCAGGGCCUGCUUCAGCUGUCCCUGCUCGGCACAAUAUAUCUUUCUGCAUUCGAUUUCAUCUUUAAUACAUCUAAGAUUCUGCUACUGCUUUUCUGUGUCUUGUUCAGUUCUUUGAGUCACAAAGACUAUAGAUACCAUGCUAAGAAUGGCUCUUGCCUCCUCUGUAAUAGGAAAGCUCCGGAGACCAGACUUCUCUUGACAGUCCUUCAAACCAAUCGUCUGGCCCCAGACCCACUUAGGUGCCCGUUUUCAGAGGUUCCUGGAAUUAUGUUUAAUUCCUGAGCCCAGGGCAUUCUGCAUUGCCAGCUACUAUACCCAAGUCCCAGAUCAGCAUGGGAAGUUCCCAGGUUGACACAGAAGCUAGUCCUUCUCAGUGUGUGUUCUGGCUUCCUGGACUAUGUAGCUGUGGUUACUCCUCUUGGUUCAAAUCCCCUCACUACUGGGUAUAGUGCUGUAUGCCUGUAAAUACCAGCUUGGAGGAAGCAGAACAAGAGGAUCAGAAGUUCAAAGCCAGCCUGGACAAGAGUGUGUUUUGAGGCAGCAAGAGCCUGCCACAAAAACUAGGCUGAAUCCCUUUCCCUCCAACUAAAGGGGUUUCGAUUAGAUCUCUGUGUUAUACUAUGUUAUUAAUGAAUGUUAUUUAAUCUACAUUCAGCUGUACACUUGAAUGCUUAGUUUCAGUCAUUAUGAUUUUGAUGGAAAUUUACAUAGGCUCUACUGACUACUUGUGGUACCAUGGGCAUUUUCACAAUAUUAAUUCUGCCAAUUCCAAAGCACGGAAGAACUUUCUACCAUCUUAUGAGUGUCCCUUUUGAUUUGUUUCUUCAGUGUAUAAUGUUUUCAUCAUAUGUGACCUCUAGGGAAGAAAGGUUGGUUUAUAGUUAUAAAAUGAACCUCACUGUGUAUUUAAAUUUGACUUUAUUUUGGACUCUGUAAGUUACUGAUGACCAUGAUCUGGUUUUUACAGUUACUUGUCUACCUUUUUCUUAGGUUAUAAUAGUUUUUAGACUCUCCGCUUCCUGUGUUGUUCUGUAGAACAUUAUACAUUUAUUAUCAUCUGCACCAUUCAUAAAUUAAUCCUUUUUGUAAUCAAGAUUUUUUCUCAAUGAAACUUCUAAAGUUUGAUUUUUUAAUUCAUGUCUGGAUGUAUUAAUGGAAAUCUUUAUCACCAAAUGCAAGCUUUAUUUCCAUUCACUGACAUAAACGCCAUUAGCCAUGACCCCAUUCAUGUUAGUUUCUCUUUUUAUUUCAUUGAUUUAGUCAUGCUUUUCCCCUCUGAGACAGGGUCUCGGUCUGUAGUACAAGCUGUCCUGCAACUACUAAGCCCAGGCUGGCUUGAACUUGGAGCCCUCUCCUACCUCAGGCCUCCCAGGUGCUGGUAUUACAGGUAUGAACCCUCAGGCUCAGAUAUGUAUCCCUCUUGUUUUUAAAUUAUAUGCACUGUUAUUAUUCUAUUAUAAUUGUGCUUCUCUAAUUAUUUAUGCAAAACAUGGAAUUUGGAGUUUCUCUGUUAUCUUCCUACUAAUCGCCUGUAAAAAAGGAAAUUACCAACAUGGGCCAGCCAUCCUGAUUUGUUUCUAAAGAGUUGGUUCUUAUGUUAAUAAUGUGUUCUGAAGAACUCCCAGCAAAACAUCAAUUGUUCUUCAUUAUUCUACUAAUUGGAUUUUCUGGCUAGUCAUGUUACCCAAGACACUAUGAAUUAGUUAAGCCUAAAAUGUUCCUUGAAAAGAAAAAAAUGUUCAGGGAAAAACCAGAAAUUGCUGGAUUUAAUUUUUUAUUUAGUUACCAUAAAGAACCUUGGUUAUAAUGUUCAUAUUUGACUUUCUCUUCUCCUUUAGACUUAGAAUAGUAAAGAUAUCCCUGUCACAGAGUCUUGGACCAACCCCAAGAGGUGAGAAAGAAUGACACUAAGAACUGUCCCCCAGGACCUUGAUUUUUGAAGCAUCUCUCACCUCUAGACACCUGGCCAGUCUCCAGCUGAUCCUAGCAGUGAGUUUGCAUUGACUUCUUUCCUACAGGCACAGUUAUACUUUCCAUCCACACAUGGCUUUAAAAGCUCAGCUCAGAUCUCACCAGUGUUCUUGACAGCUUACUUCUAUGAGUAGCCAAACUCACAGGGUUGUUGUUUUGCCUAAUGGGUCUCAUUUGGUGCAUUGAAAUUACUUACAUAUGUUAAAGUGUGUCCUCAAUUUGGUUAUGACAACCUUCAGGGUAGAAAUAUUAUCCCUUUUCUGAGAUAGGGUUAUAUAAUGUAGCUCAGGCUGACUUUGAACUCAUAACUCCUCUGACUUAGCCUCUUAAGGGCUGGGAUUAUAAAGCAUUACCAAAGCCAGCCUCAGAAAUAUUGCUGUGUGUCUCCGUCAAGGAGUCCCUGUCCUCUUGGUUGAGAUGAUGUUCAAAGCUCAACCUAGGUUGAUAAUCAGGUAGAUUUGUGCUACACCAAAUACAGAUACAGCACUCUACAGCUCAGGCUGGCCCUCAACUUGUGAUCUUCUAGCCUCAGCUUCCUCAGUGCUGGGAUUACAACUGUGUUCUACCAUGACCAGUCGUAUGCCUCACUGCUUCUGAUCUGUUAAAUGUGGCCAAGCUCUAAGGCCAUUUCCAGAGCUAACAUCUGAUGUUCAGUGUACCUGAGGAAACAAUCCAAAGGAAUGGGAUGAUUUAUUCACAUUCACAGAGCCGAUCAUGGCUGAAAUGUUAAGGUGAAGUUCAAUCUCACAGCCACAGCUUACUGGUUCUUUCAGAGUGUCUGGCAUCCUUCAAAAUGCCAGCAUGCAACUUUCCUAAGGACACAUAUACACUGACCCAACUCAGUACCUGCACUAGUUGGAGUAUUAAAAAAGUAUCUGAGGUGUAUCUCCAAAAAGGCUUAAAUAGGCUGAAGUAUCACCCAGAGAAAGGUGGUGACUGACAUAGAACAUGUGAGGUAGCUCAGUCUGUGAAGCAUGAGGACUUUGGAUCCCUAGCAUCCAUGUAAAAAGCCAGUGGCAGCAAGGCACACCUAUAAUCCCAGGCUGGGAGAGCCAUUUGGAUCUCACAGGCCAGCCAGUUUAGUUGAAUUAGUGAGCCCCAGGUCAGUGAGAGAUCUUGCCUCAAAAAGAAAAAAACAGGUGGAGUAGCCAAGAGGAGUGCUCAGUGGGUAAGGGCGCUUGCCACCUAAGUGUGAGGACUUGAGUCUAAUUUCCUCACAAGGAGUCCCUGUCCUCUUGGUGACUCCAUGGAUAUACCAGACACAUUGCAUGAACAUCUACAAUCCCAGUGUUCCUACAGGGAAGUGGGGAGUAAAGGGAAUACCCAGAAGUCCAUGGGCCAGCUAGUUUGUGUGUGAGGUAUCAAGACUACAGAGAGACCAUGCCUCAGACAACAUAGAAGGUGUAGACUGAUACCCAGGGUUGUUCUCUGAACUCCACACAUACAUGCUGUGGUAUUACUCAAAUGCCUGCAUUCAUACACCCAACUGCAUGUACGCACGCACGCGCGCGCGCGCACGCACAAACACACACACACACACACACACACACACACACUCGGUAGAGGAAUACACCUGACCUUGACCUCUGACCCCCACAUGCGUGCACAUGCUCAUGAACUUGUACACUUGUCCAUGUUCCCUCCCCAAAUAAAUACAUGUUACGUCCAUGCUUAAAACCCUCUUGGACUCCAUCUCUUUUGUUGUGUUUUGGAGCUUCAUGUAGUCCAGGCCAGCCUUAAAAUUACUUUGUAUCUAACGAUGACCCUGACCUCCUGACCUUUCUGCCUCCACCUCCCAAGGGCAGGAAUUACAAAUUUAAGCAAAUUUUAACAAUGGCCACUGUCUUCCCCCCUGACCUGUCUAUCCUGAUCUUUCAGUCAGCUUCAACUCCAAUGACUUUUCUGCUGCCCACAAUGCGCCAUGUAGGCUCCUUCUCUAGGUUAAACUUGAGUCACCUUUACCUCCUACCUCACUUGACAUUGGGUUUCUGUGUCAAUGUCGUCUGUUGGACAGGCCUUCCACCACCAUCCCAUAUACGAUCAUGUGCCUACAUCAAGCUCUCCCCUGGUGUUUCCAUAGUAUUUAACAUCACUUGGCUUACACUGCGUAUCUACCAUUUGUAGAGAGAAUUUGGGUUUCUUAAAAACCACAGCUAUGUUUUGUGAACAUGUUUUUGUUUUAUUCCCAGGUGUGGGCUAAGAGGCUGCUUCCCAGCGGAUGAUUAUGAUUUGCCUUGUGCACUAGCAGGGGUGUGAUCUUUGCUAGUUGCAGUGAGUUUCAUUCUGGGGACCCUGGAGAGGGAUGAAUGGGAGAGCCCUGAGGAGGAGCUCUGAGAAGGCUGCCACUCCCCCUGCUGCUGUGGUUUGUCAAGCGGUCAUGAGUGGUUUGGAGCUACCCUGAUAACAAAGAUUGGGUUUGUCUCAAGGAACCCAACACCUUAAUCAGCAGGAAGCAUCUCAUAGAGGUCUACGCCUCCUUUCCCCUCUAACCUUUUUCUCUUACAUCUAGAACAGCACCUAGAAACAGCAGAUACUUAAUAAUUAAAAGUAGAAUGAUUGACAGAUUGAAUGAGGAUGUUCAUGCCUCAUGGGUGCUGUGUUUCUAAAGGGGGAGAUUUACAUCAGUCGAAAGUCUCUUAGUGGAAAACAAAUCCCUUGUUGGGCUAGGUUCUUCUGGAUGAAGGUGAAAGUUAUAAUCUAAAAUUCCUCCUUCCAUCCCAAGGUCUUACUAUGCAGCCCAGGUUGACCUUAAACCUAAGAUCUUCCCGUCUCAAGUCUCCUGAAUGCUGGGAUUACAGGCAACUACUACCAUGCAUGGGUAUAAUUUAACAGCAAAGUCUGAAGGCCACGACUACACAGUACCACCUCUAUGUUACUGUUGGGGGCUCAAGAUAGCACUGUUUUGUUUUCUGCCUAUGGUAUCUGUGGGAUUUCUGUCCUCUUGGAUACUUAAACCAGGCAUUUAUGCUAAACUUUGUCUGCUGGUCUCAAACUUGACACAAGCUACAGUCAUCUUAGAAGAGGGAGCCUCAACUGAGAAAAUGUCUCCGGAGAUCAGGCUGUACAGAAGCCUGUAGGGCAUUUUCCUAAUUAGGGGUUGAUGGUGGUGGGCCAGGACAUAAUUGGUGGUGCCACCCCUGGACUGGUGGUUGAGGGUGCUAUGAGAAGGCAGAAGGCAGGCUGAGUAAGCUAUGAGGAGCAAGUCAGUAAGUGGCAUUUCUCUGUGGCCUUUGCAUCAGCUCCUGCCUCCUGGUUUCUGUUGACUGUUUGAGUUCCUAUCUUGACCUUCCCUCAAUAGGCUGUGAUUCAGGAUAGUAAACUAGAUAAACUCUUCCCCCUCUAAAAGUUGCUUUUGGUUAUGUGUUUAAUCAUAGCAAUAGUAACCCUAUGAGGUGUGUGUGUCUGUGUGCCCACGUGCGUAGGAACUCAUGUAUGAACAGGUACCAGUGUAUAUCAGACCUUUCUGAAGGUGGAUAAAAAUGACCCUUCCAUACCUCAAAAUCGUCCUAGUUCAGUUCCUGUCAAUCUCCUGAUUCAAUCUUCUCCCUCUCCUUAAACUGGUUAUUCAUAUCAUGCCACAUACUCCUGUGACUGAGAAACAUAGGAAAAUGGCAUGCAUGCACAGACAAGUUCCGUCUCAGUCAGUGUGGGAUUCAGCACAAGCCUUCGAGGACAUGAGCCACAUCUAAGAGAGACUGUGUGUGUGUGUGUGUGUGUGUGUGUGUGUGUGUGUGUGUGUGUGUAUGUGUGUCAGGUGGGGCUGGCUGUUGAUUAAAGGAAGGUGUUCUGGUGAUAAAUACAGACAACAUCAGAUAGGAUAUGAACCAGGAUUCUGACAAUUUUCUCUUGCGAUGUUUUGAUAGCAGCCAUCUGAUCUAGACUUUUAGAAGAAAGGGUAAAAUCAGGGAAGCCUGGUGGGGAAGACCUCAGGCUCUGGCUUGUGUGAAGUCAAUGCAAUGUCCUUAUUCUUACGGGAAAGCAGGGCUAUCAGUGACAUUCAGAGACUGCCGGGGAUGCUAAGCCACCCUCUGCUCCGAAGAUCUAUUAGCGUCUCAAGACUGGAACAUUAUAAACCUAGCACUUGUGGAGGCUGAUCCCCUCAGGCUGGUGUCUGAAGAUUCUAGAAAGAAGCAGUAAAGGCAUCUGUAACCCAUGCUGCACGGGUAGGAGCACAACAUGCACUUAUUCCCUAAAACUGCAACAGAAAAGAACGCAAAAGAGGGCUGGGAAACCACCUAGUCUACACAGUAACUAUUUUAGCCAUUGUGGGACAGAUGGUUCUGUCUUUCCACUGAACUCCGCUCGCAGAGUGGGAAGGCACGGAUUACACAUGAGAGAGAAUGGGUGUGGCAGUCUCUCAGGGAAACCCAGAACCAGGAGGUGGACAGGAGCAAAGCCUGGGUCUCCUGACCCUUGGAACAGGAGUAGGGUGGCCAUUGAGCUUUUCAUGACAAUGGAUAUGUUCUGUAUUUGUGCUCCCAAUACGGCAACCGCCAGCUCACCCAUGAUUAAACGAUGCAGCUAGUAAGACUGGCAAGCUGAAUUUUUGACCCAUGAAAAUUAAUUUUUGCAUGUGGACGCUCAUGUGUGUUCAUGCACAUGUGUGCAUCUGAGCAAUCUUGGGCGUACCAUCCACCUUGUUUUUAAAGCCAGGCUCUCACUGGCCUGGAGAUCACUAAUUAGGCCAGACUGGAGUGCCACAUUUGUCUCCAGCAUUAUGGUUCUAAGCAUACAUGAACAUGAAUUGUUUUUUUUUAAUGUGGGUAAUAGGAUCAAAUAGCAAAUCCCCACACUUACAUGGCAAGCACUUUAUUAACUGAAUCUUCUCCCUAGCCCCAAAUUAAAGUUUCAGAGGGACCCAUGGGUACUGGUGUUGAAAGGUGUUUAAGAUCUAAAAGUUCUUAAAAUGGCUACAUAAAACACAAGAAGUCAUAGGUUCAAAAGAACUCACCCAGCAUGGAGAGGUUUAACAUCCACAGACACUGUCGUGUGCUGUGGGCAGCCUUUCAUGUUCAGGGACUGAGGAGAUGGCUGGACACUAUGAUAAAGAAUCAGGGAUAUGAUGGAGCGCUGCAGGGGACAGCAGACUCUCCUGGUCUCUCUCCUCCGCAGCAGUUUGCCGAAGUGGAAGUGGUACUGGGUCAUCAGCUUUCCUGGUUACAGGGGCCUGCUGUGCAGUGAGUAAUGGAGAGGGGGCAGCGAGAGCCUGGAGGCUGAUGUUGGAUCCAUCAGAAUGACUUUAAGGCACACUGGCGUUUCUUUCUCACCUAAGAAAGGUCUUGAAAUAGCCUUGCAUCUGCCUUGGGGACAUUCACAUUUCCUGUAAAGCUGGCUGUCAGAGUCCCUGAAGGAUCCGGUCCACUAUUAUUUUAUCCGCCCAUCCGUGAGGGUCCCAGCUGAGGUGGGCUCUGCUUACUUUCCCUCACUCUGUUUAUUGCUGCAUAUCCUGAUUCCCCUAGGUCUUCCUGCAUAGGGAAGACAUUAACCAGCCCUUAAAGCCAGCACCCGAGGUGGGAGUAGACCUGGAUUCCAGCAAGUUCUCUAACGCUAGUUUUUGUUAUAGCUGAUGCAGUAGUCAGAUAAUUUCCAGACACCCAGCAUCUCAUCCCAGCAGAGCCCCUCCCACUGGGACCUCUAGUCAAGUCUGCUGCUUCCUCAGACCUCUAAGAGGAGAAAUCACUGUCAUACUCUGCCCUCCCACAAGGAGAGUCCCUUUCAGCUGCACGCGGGACACAUUUGCCCCCUUGAAGGCUCCUAACCGUGAUCUAGGGCUUUCCACAAUUUAGUGUCUGGCCAGGAAAUGCAAUUCUGAGUUUUAGAACUUUUUCUUUGUUUUGGUUAGGAACCUACGUCUGGUGUGUCUACCUUCCUGGUUCUCACUUCCCCAUCCACCAUCAUUAGAAUUCCCCUGAUGAAUAUUAAUAAGAUGGCUCUCAAGUUCUCAAGUUUUAAUUAGGCAGGGCCCUAGGGAAAUGUGUGUAUCUUGGACACAGGGGAAGCCAUGCUUGGGGAGAACAGGAAAGGAACUAUCAGCAGUAUGGGUCCUUGGGGACCUUGUGGCCGAUAGAUAGCACAGAUACAGUUGUUACUUGUGCCCCAGUGGAAGUCCUGGAAACCCAGUAUGAAUGUCAGACGUGCUUACUAACAUACCAAAGGGGGAACUGGCUAGCUCUCCCAGCAUCCCUCAGUACCUGUGUCUCCUUCCAGCUCUCCCAGCAUCCCUCAGUACCUGUGUCUCCUCCAAGCUCUCCUAGCACCACUUAGUACCCAUGUCUCCUCCCAUCCUCCCUCGGUAUCUGUGGCUCCUCUCUCAGCACUGCUGCCCACCCCAAACCUCUCCCUCUUAGGGCCUGGGCUCCCAUUUUCCUUCCUCCUAUUCCUAUAUAACUCAGCCAUUUGGCUCUCCCGCUCUUGCUCAGACGGUCCAUGCCGCCUCUAUUGUUCUCUCUUCUGCUCUCUCCUCUCCUGGUCCAGUAGAGCCUGCUGGGCAUCUUAGCCUGGACUCUUCCCUCUGCCUGCUUUCUCCCUUGUCUUCUUCAUACUUUAGGAGUAGCAAUGCUCUCCUUUUUUAUUUCAUUUUCUCAUUCACCCAGAGCAACUGAGGUGAGGCUUCAGCUAUUCAACUCCAAUACUGCAGCCGGCUCUGGCUGUUAUUGUUGGUUUUAGGAAUAGAGUCAUUUGUCUGGUUCCUUUACUUCUAUUAGGAGAUUGAAUUGGCCCAUAACAUCGGCAAGGGAGGACCUAGUAAGUGUGGAUACGACCCGUACUCAAGGGUCUAGCUUUCUCUCAACACUGAGGAGAUGAUGAGCACGGACACCUCCACCUAAAUGUGCUCAUGUCCACCGUCGGGAUCUGUGCCUGCAGACUCAUUCUGUUCGGCUCCGCGUCUCUUUCCCUAGACUCCAUAUGUAAGGCCAAGACGUAUGUACAACCGUCUUCAAAAAUAUUGCACUUUUUUUUUUCAUGUGUGUGUUCAUGUGCCAUUAUGCACGGGUUGGGAUCAGAGGACAACUUCUGGGAGCCUGUUCUCUCCUUUCAGUAUGUGGGUUCCCCGGAUCGAGGAGGUCACCCGUCUUGGUGGGUGGCGAGUGCCUUAACCGUCUCGCGGUCAUUUAAACUUUACCGUGCAUGGUUAUUUAAAAGUAGGCAGAAUAGCAACACUGACACGUCCACCCAUUAGCAGGGACCAUGUCCAACUCCCCCUUCCUGAUGUUGUUUGCUGGUAAAUUCUGGGCAUCAUACAAUUCUGCUUUCAGGUGUACCCUUAUCCACCUUUAUGACCUGUUAUGUCAUCAGCUCCCAACUUUUCUUUUGAGGUAAAUCUCAAAUAUCCCGUUUGACAUGUUUCUAGGGGACCUUUUCUUCCCCUUUGCCUGAUACUGUCAAAUGAGGCUAUCUGUUCACCAGAGAGAACCCUACGUGAAUGAAUACAGGGAAACAGGUUUGACCUGGACAGACAAACUGGCAUGGGAAGAAGCAGGGUGAGGUAGAAUAUGGAGGGAAGACACAGCAUGUUGAGCAAAAACUAGCGAAACCAACCACCCCCAUCCCCAACCCCAGCACAGACAUACAUCCAAAAUAGGUGAAGAGACACAGGGAGUGCUCUCUGACACACGUUCCCGCAAAGUCAGCUGGCCUUGGCGACCACGGUGUCCUUUCUAGAAAGAUUCACUCCCCCCCCCAAAAAAAAAUUAUCACCAAUCCAUUAAAUAAGGCUUUUUUCUUUGUUUCUUGGUCUCUCCCUCAUUUCUCUCAUCUAAUCUGUCUCUUCUCUACUCUUUUCUUCUCUCUCUCUCUCUCUCUCUCUCUCUCAUCCCUCAUCUCUCUCUGCUUUCUGUCUCUCUUCUUUGUUGCUGUUUUUUCUCCCCCCCCCUCCCCUUAACCUUUUCUUCAGAGGACCAAGACUUAGCCCAAAGGCUCUUCCUAGUUCUGCUCCCUCCUGAAGCUGCUCUCCAUGGCAACAGAGGCUGCCUCACACUGUGAGACCCAGCAAGGCAGGGGAGGGAGAGGUUGCAGAAAACAUACAUUGUCUAAAAGCAACUGACUUAUUUCUAGGUUGUUUUGAUGAAGGAAGAUGACCCAGAGCAUUUCUGGGGAGGUGACAAACUGGAGGUAAUGAUGGCACUUUAAUGCCUCUGUUCCUCAAGUUUGUUGUGAUAUCUUUAUUUCUCUCCCCAAAGGAGGUACAGAGAGAAAAGACAGGGGGACUCAUUGCUUCCAUGCACCCCCACGGCACCACACCAUGACACCCCCACCCCAAAUGCCAUGCAAUGGAGGGAACUUCCCAUCUGCUCUCCCUGGGCUGAGGGAAUGUGACCCAGGCAUAACGGAUGCUCCUAUACGGUUCCCUAGCCUCCUGGGGAGCCCUAAUCUUCUUCAGCCUGGUAGGAUGUUUAAUCAGCAAGGAGGUGGGUACCACACAGUGCAGUUCUUUGGGGUGGCUGUAGGAAGCUUUGGGGCUGUCUUUUCUUUUUUUAAUCUCCUGCCCUUGAGUGCCUGCAGUGUUGCAACUUUUACUCUGGCCAUGGAAAUGCACAAGAAACAAAUAAAAGCAAGUGUAAGGGAGGCUGAAGGCUGGGGAGAGCUGGAAGUGCCUACCUCAUGAGCAUCAGGACCUGGGUUCCUCAUCUCCAAUAUCCAUGCAAGAAGCUGGGCUUCACAGUGCACAUCACUAAUCCUAGUGCUUGGGAGGUGAAGUCAGAUGGUAUCUGCCAGAAUUCACAGGCCAGAGGGAAUAGAGGAGGAGACCUUAUAAUAGACUCUACACACACACAGUACACAGGUACACAUGUACAUACACAGCACACACACACAUUCUACACUCUACAUACACAGACACACAGAUACACUCUACAGAUACUACACACAUACACCACACAUACUACAUACAUUGCACAUAUUCUACACACACAGACAUAGACACACAUACUACACACACACACACACACACACACACACACACACACACACACACCCCUCUGUGGGACAAUAGACCAUGCCAGGAAACUUGAUAGGUUGAAUGGGUUCAGAGUCCCUGGCACCCAGGUACCCCCCUGAGAUGUUGGUGACUCCAUGCUCCCUACCAGAUUUCUGACCUGGGACAUGUGCCACACUUCUUACACAAGAAAUGUGACCUGUGGUCAUGUAAGCUCAAAUCCAGAGUUCUUUAUGCUAAUAAGGCCCCCCAAGGGUUUACCCAAUAAGCUUUCCUUCUCAGACAUUCCUCCCUUCAAAAGGUAUUCAAUCUCUGGUCCACCCUGAAGAGAUAUGUACCCAUACAUAAACAAGUUUGUAUCAGUAAACAGUUUGGAACCAAGAACUGUCUUUUCCAUCAAGAACCACUGUAGGGAGCAUGGAGAAGGUCUUUGCCUUCAGCCCCCUCUGCACUCCUGGACAAUUGCUGCUAAGGACUUUCACUGAUGAGCUAAGCCAGGAGUUCCCCACUCCCCCAGCCCCUGGUUUAUCACAAGUCUUCAGCCCACAGGCCCCCCAACUCUGUUCCCAAACUCCCCACAACCCAGCAGCUCCUGGAUGUCCAGGAGUCCUCACCGCAGACCUGGGGAUCCCUGAUCUCCUUUCCUGACUCCUCUGUGGGCAACUGGAUGCCUAGAAGUCAGGGAACCCCAGCUUCUGCCUCCCACACUCUAGGCUGCAGUUUUUCCACCCCUUGAGCAAUGCUCAGCUCUUCCCUUAAAGUCCAGCACUCGAUGGCUCUGGUGCUGGGUAAACAGUCUAGUGCUCCCCAAGAUUCGCACCCCCAGUGCUGUUUCCCACACCCCAGCAGUGGGGAGAGAAACAUGGACCCCCACACCCCCAGGAUGUUCCCCCUGCUCUUCAAAGGUGCUUUUGUUCUGGGCUUGUCUGUAGAGAUAAGACAGAGCAAAGCUUUAUCAUUCACCAGCCAAGCUGUCAUAUGCCUUGGGGCAUCAACAAUUCAUGUCCCAAUGCUUGAACAACAAACAGCACAACAUCUUUCUUAGGUAGGAGCCUUCGUCUCAAGCCUGAGAGUGGAUUAUUGUACCCCUCUGGAUUAACGUUCCUAGCUUCAACAAGAAAAUUUCCACGGGGUCAAACAGUACAGAUAGAACCUAAGGAAACCCCCAAGGAGAGGAACAUUAGGUGGUUCUGGGAAAGGAGAAAGACCUUCACCAGACAGUGGUGAGAUACCAAGCAAAGCAGGAAGGCAAGCAAACUAGGGCACCAGUGCCUCUCUCCCUCAUGACCCC